AGCUCAUCCAGAGGGGCAGAGGGACACGGCCCGAUGAAGCCCCGGCAACCCUCCAGUCGGUUCUCCUGACCUGUGCAGCGAGGCUCCCGGCUAGGGAAGGUGCCAAAUCCGUCUCACGGCGAGAUGCGUCGUGAGGAAGAUGAGGA
rnacentral:ncRNA from 1 species